CAAUCUAAUACUUCCGUUUUCGAAAGCAACUCGUGUGUGCGCAGAUUAUGUUAAAUUUAAGUUUUAUUAAAUAAAUCCAUUUAUUAAAACAGAAUCGAUCAUCGAAUCCCCCAAUAAAUUAUGGAUUUAGUCUCAAAACCUUACAUUUUAAAUUAAAAAGUGAAAAGAAAUUAAUUUAAAAUUUACGAGAUGUUAGAUCAUUUAAUGAUCAUAGAAUUGUUGAAUAAAGAUAAUUAUAAUUUAUGAAAAAUAUCCAUAAAAACAGUUAACAAAAAAUGAUCAUUGAUACUAUAUUGAUAGUACAUUUUCUCAUCCCAUAGCCGAAAAUUUCUGGAACUAAGCAGUGACAGUGUCAACGCAAUUGUCUAUACUGCAGUUAUCCGCAGUGCAAACGGAUCGGUUGAACUGGCUAUUUUAAAUUUCUUGUCCAGAGAGAAACUAUUUAGCCAAUAAGCCAGGAAAAUUCAUCGGAACACUUGCAAGAGCAAACUUUAAAGCGAAUGCAAAGCCUUUGCAUGUGCACGAGAUAUAUCAUAUGCUCUACGUAAAGCUUAUACGAGAGAAUAAUAAACAGCAUCAAGAUUAUAUGAGAAAGUAGAAUGGGCAUUUGCAAUCCAUGUUGACGCAAAGAAAGAUGACAACAUUCGGAUCACAGUGAUAUGAAAAAUAAUAGAUUAUGCUAUCACUAUAUAGUAGAUGCAUAUUCUCAUUUGUCCGCUGAUGAGAAAUUCAGUUAUGCACUUAAAUUAAAUACCGAUAUAUGAUCUGAUCAUUGAUCCAAUCAAAGUGUUUAUAAAGCAGCAAAUAUCCCGGCAAUCUGGCAGCAACGUAUUGAAAAAUCAUUCAGAGAAAAAGUUGGAAAAAGUAUGUAUUUUUCAACGAUAUAUUUUUCAACGCUAUAACCUGCGACCAUCGUAUUGAUGCCAAGGGAUUACACAAAUCGGAUAAAUAUAUAGAGGCAAUUCGUGAUGCACCAAAACCUACUACUGCUGAACUAUUACAGCUAUUCCUGGAGAAAGCAAUAUAUUACAAUAUCUUCAUUCUCAAUCUAUCCACGUUGGAUCGAUCACUAUACACAAAUCAAUUCAUAUGGACACUAACUGCAGAAGAGGCUUGAUGACAAUCAAGAAUAUUUUGAUCUCUCAAGUUCUAAUGCCAUAUGAUCCGACUCUAUUUUUAUGACUAGCAACAGAUGCAAGUAAGACAGAGCUUGGAAAAAUCUUAUUAUAUAUAUUCCCUAAUGAUCAAAAAUCCAAGAACCAACGAAUCAAUUUUUUAUGCGAUUAAAAUAGUGUUGAAUGAAACAAAGCAACACUCAGAUAAACAAGGAAGCAUUAGCGAUUUGGACAAUCCAAAAGUUCUUCUAUUAUGUUUAUGUCCAUCAUUUUAUUUUUGUAACAGAUCAUAAACCAUUGACAAAGAUAUUAUAUCUGGAAAAAUUUCUUCCGAUUCUGUAUAUCAAUAGAAUGGCCAACAUGCUGAUCGCAUUUCAACUUUGAAACUGUUUUCAAAAUUUCUACUAAGGAAAACAUAAAUGCCAACUACUGUUCACGAACAUCACUGCCUGUGAGUAGAAAAACGAUUCAUGCACUGAACGAUCAUAGCAUAAAAGUAGUACAAAGUGAUGAAUUUGACAAAAAUUUGUGCUGCACCAAAUUAAGUAGUUGCUUAUAUGUGCUAAUAACAUCAGCAAGAAAACGAGGAACGAUACAGAUCUAAGAAAAAUAAUCCAAUUACUUGAAUUAAGUGAAAAUUUAAAAAAACAUGCUUAUAUAGCACCAAAAGCUUCAGCAGUAGCAUGUUUAGUAUAUGAGUAUCAAGUUAUUCCCGAUACGCUGCGCAAUCAUAUACUAGCUGAGUUGCAUGAAGAACAUUUGGGAAUUGUCAAGAUGAAAGGGAUGGCAAGAUUGUAAGGCCAAAUACAAAUAAUAUCGAAAAAUAACGGGCAUUAUUUCGUCCUUUUUUCAGAAGCUUCGUGUCAUCAUAACCUAUUUUAUAUCAGGCAACCCAAGAAUGGAUAAAUGGAUAUCUGUAAUAUUGCCACGACAUUCGGAAAUCUCCAUUACGAGAUUAAUUACUGAGCUAAUGGAUCAAACGCUAUGCAGAUCAGGACAGUGUCAACACAACACAGACACUGAUCAAUCAUAGGAUCAAUACAUCCACUCUGAACGAAAGUUCGCUUUUAUAGAUCUUUAAAGCUUACAAUGUUUACUACCAAGUUUAAGCAGGCUACAUCGGGUGCGUCCGCAGCAGAAGUUAUGACAUCUAUGAGUGUCAUAUGAAUGCCAAAUAGGUCACCAUAUUUACGGCCUUGCUCCGACGAUUUAGUAGAAAUACAGCGGUUUCAACAAACCUGUACAUUGCUAUACUUAUCCAAUUACGGAGAUAGAAGAGAAUGCGGUAACAACCCAAAUACCUCCAAUAUUAGACUAGAUAAAGUUUUCAUAAAAGAGGAAGAAAAUGUUGUAUAUGUUACGUUUAACUUAUAAUAUAGAUGUUAUCAUCUAUUGAAACCGAGGGAUGGGCAUUUGAUGGUCAUGUGUAUGAGAUGUAAAUAGUAUAUGUCUAUAAUGUAAGAUGGGCCACGUGCAAUUAAUUUCUAAUGCUUUUUGUAAAAUAUUUUUAUAUAAUGUAAUAAAUACUUUAGAUAAUG
rnacentral:lncRNA from 11 species